AUUCCAUGGAAAGUAUGCUAUUGACACUGGAAAGUGUAAAUCCCUUGAAGUUUUCCAUGGAAAAGUGUCCUGUAUUCCAAGGAAACACUGGAAAUUUUCCAGACAUACAGAAAUAUGCAUGGAAAAUGUCCCUUAACUUAAAAUAUGUAUGGAAAAAUACCCUGGACACUGUAGCAUUUGCAAAUAUACAUGUAUAUAGCUGGUAACACCUGGACAUUCCAAUAAAGAUAAAGAACCAAUAAAAAUGAAGGCUACUUGUGACCUAACAAAAUUAGUCCCAAUUUUUCUGUUUGUUUUCCUGUGAUCUUUGAAAAUUCUGUGUGCUAAAAGAUGGUCAAAUUCACUCUUGUACUAUAUAUCUGUUUUCAUAACAUUCUGGAUAUUCACAUCAGUAACUUAUUGUACUGAAGAAAACUGCUCAUGAAUACCACAAAUAUAAAUGUAAACAGGAUGUGCUUUGUUCUUGUUGUUAGAGGCACAUGGAAUGGAGCUAUCUAACUGGAAACUCUAAAAUGCUUUUAGAAGGACACCUGAGUAAAAACCAAGUGAAUGAAGUUCUUUCCAUGGGUAUGAUGCAGUCUUUUCCUGGAAUGUGGCUAAUUAUCACAAAUGAUGUAAUACAGUGCUGUCCUUUAUACAACAGAUUGCUAAUGUUCAGUGAAGUUAAUCAAGAAGAAAGAGGUCUUUAAGUCCCUUACAAUUAAACCCUUCUGCCUGUCUCCUGUAACAUAAAGGGCAUUAAAAAGGCUGUAUCAGAAUGAAACAAACACACAGAACAGUAAUCAAGAUCUUUUAAGACUUAUCACAAACAAUCACCUUAAAGACUGUCAACAAUAUAUAUAAGACAGUGUUCAUGAUGUAGCUUAAGGACCAUUGCCAAUUCAGAGACACUGAAGUUCACCCUGAAUACUACUGCUAAUAUAAAGUAUGGAAAAACAUGAUGGACAUGAUUAUUAUGUAAAUAUUCUAAUGGAACACAGUACCAACAAUGUAUGAAACAAGAGGGCCAUGAAGGCCCUGUAUUGCUCACUUGACCUAUUGACCUAACGAUCAAGAUUAACAUUCUGACCAAGUUUCAUUAAGAUAUGGUUAG
rnacentral:lncRNA from 1 species